rnacentral:rRNA from 1 species
UACGUAGGGUGCAAGCGUUUGUCCGGAAUUAUUGGGCGUAAAGAGCUCGUAGGCGGUCUGUCGCGUCUGCUGUGAAAACUCGGGGCUUAACCCCGGGCCUGCAGUGGGUACGGGCAGACUAGAGUGCGGUAGGGGAGACUGGAAUUCCUGGUGUAGCGGUGGAAUGCGCAGAUAUCAGGAGGAACACCGAUGGCGAAGGCAGGUCACUGGUCCGGUACUGACGCUGAGGUGCGAAAGCGUGGGGAGCAAACAGG